rnacentral:rRNA from 1 species
UAGGGAAUCUUCCGCAAUGGGCGAAAGCCUGCCGGAGCAACGCCGCGUGAGUGAUGAAGGUCUUCGGAUCGUAAAACUCUGUUAUUAGGGAAGAACAAAUGUGUAAGUAACUAUGCACGUCUUGACGGAACCUAAUCAGAAAGCCACGGCUAACUACGUGCCAGCAGCCGCGGUAAUACGUAGGUGGCAAGCGUUAUCCGGAAUUAUUGGGCGUAAAGCGCGCGUAGGCGGUUUUUUAAGUCUGAUGUGAAAGCCCACGGCUCAACCGUGGAGGGUCAUUGGAAACUGGAAAACUUGAGUGCAGAAGAGGAAAGUGGAAUUCCAUGUGUAGCGGUGAAAUGCGCAGAGUUAUGGAGGAACACCAGUGGCGAAGGCGACUUUCUGGUCUGUAACUGACGCUGAUGUGCGAAAGCGUGGGAAUCAAACAGG